rnacentral:lncRNA from 1 species
AUGCUGUGCAAGGUGCAGGAGCAGAGCCAGGAGCUGCAGCUCUGCUUCCCAGAGCCAGCAGCAGCUGAGAAGCGUUCGCAGCAGCCCAGGGCUUUGGCCAGGGAGCCCUCCCCACGCUCGCCAGCAUGUUGUGAAAUUGCUGCCCCAGCCUGUGGCCCCCAGGAGGAACUUGUGUGGUUUCAGAAGCCACAAGUGUCAAAGGGGCAUUUGCUGGCCCCAGGGCCCUCCUGGCCCCCUGACCAAGGGGGCUGUGGCUCCUGGCCUGCCCAGGCUGACCCCACUCAGACCUGUCCAGGUGACAGGGCAGCAUAUCCUCACACCAGGACCACUGUUUGGCUCUGUGCUGUCCCUACUUUGGUCCCCUUUAACUCUGCCCUUAGGGCAGGUCUGCCAGCAGGUAGGGCUUCAGAGAGCUGGGGCUGGCCCCUGUGGUUUGGGGGGCCCUGGUGCCCCCUGUAUCCCUCUGCCAUGCCCUGGCACUGCUCUGCUGAGGGGUCCAGCCAUGCACAGGGAGGGAGGGGGCCUGUUGGGGCAGCAGCCAGGCUGUGGUUGGGUGGAAGGAUCCGCAGAGGGGUUGGGGCCCUCCCAAGAACCCAGCCAGGCUGCUCCCCCCACCCUGUUUACAGUGUCAGCACCUCUGUGAGCCAUGCAGAGCUACAGGCCAGACAUGUGUUUUCAUUUAGCCCAGACAAUGACUCGGCCAGUGCUGGGCUGCGCUCGUCUCUAGACAGGACCUGUCCCCAGUGCUGCAGACAGGCCUGGCUUUGGCCCCUGCACGUGGCCUGGGGAUCGUGCAGCACCUGCCCCAGGGCACCCAGGAUGCAUUUGCAGCCCACACUGGGUGCCAGCUGGCCAGAUUCCAUGCUGGCCACUCAACCAUCGCUGGCACUUGGCAAUCUCUCCUGGCCUCACUCACCCUCCUGGCCUCACUCACCCUCCCAGCCCAGCACUGGCAGCUCCNNNNNNNNNNNNNNNNNNNNUCUUAUCCCCUGGGCUGGAGUACCCCCGAGUCCCUGCCGUGAGCAGCAGCACCAGGGCCUCAGGCAACUGGGCCAGCAGGAGUCCUGCUGCUGCUGGAGCCUCUGCAGACCGUGGGCCUCACAAUCUCCAGGUGUCAUCCAGCAUCCAGCACUGUCAGUGCUGUCACCUCCCACGAGUUCCCUGCAGGCUCAGGCAGGAUUUGGGCUAGGUCCAGCUGCCCAGUUCUGCUGUUUCUUCUCAUCCUGGAGGUUGAACAUCUCUGUUACCCCCCUCUUCUGCGUGUAUCCAUGGCAGUGCUGUGCAGGAGGCUGGCUCAGGCACAUGAUUUGUGGCUGUGGUGGUGGCUGUCCUGCCAACACAUGCCCAUGA